UGUGUGUGGGGUACUGAGAUGAGGUAGUCAUUGUAUGUGUGGGGUACUGAGAUGAGGUAGUCAUUGUAUGUGUGGGGUACAGAGAUGAGGUAGUCAUUGUGUGUGUGGGGUACAGAGAUGAGGUAGUCAUUGUGUGUGUGAGGUAGUCAUUGUAUGUGUGAGGUAGUCAUUGUGUGUGUGGGGUACUGAGAUGAGGUAGUCAUUGUAUGUGUGAGGUAGUCAUUGUGUGUGUGGGGUACAGAGAUGAGGUAGUCAUUGUGUGUGUGGGGUACAGAGAUGAGGUAGUCAUUGUGUGUGUGGGGUACUGAGAUGAGGUAGUCAUUGUGUGUGUGAGGUAGUCAUUGUGUGUGUGGGGUACAGAGAUGAGGUAGUCAUUGUGUGUGUGGGGUACAGAGAUGAGGUAGUCAUUGUGUGUGUGGGGUACAGAGAUGAGGUAGUCAUUGUAUGUGUGGGGUACAGAGAUGAGGUAGUCAUUGUGUGUGUGGGGUACAGAGAUGAGGUAGUCAUUGUAUGUGUGGGGUACUGAGAUGAGGUAGUCAUUGUAUGUGUGGGGUACAGAGAUGAGGUAGUCAUUGUGUGUGUGGGGUACAGAGAUGAGGUAGUCAUUGUGUGUGUGGGGUACAGAGAUGAGGUAGUCAUUGUGUGUGUGGGGUACAGAGAUGAGGUAGUCAUUGUGUGUGUGGGGUACAGAGAUGAGGUAGUCAUUGUGUGUGUGGGGUACAGAGAUGAGGUAGUCAUUGUGUGUGUGGGGUACAGAGAUGAGGUAGUCAUUGUAUGUGUGGGGUACAGAGAUGAGGUAGUCAUUGUGUGUGUGGGGUACAGAGAUGAGGUAGUCAUUGUAUGUGUGGGGUACAGAGAUGAGGUAGUCAUUGUAUGUGUGGGGUACAGAGAUGAGGUAGUCAUUGUGUGUGUGAGGUAGUCAUUGUAUGUGUGGGGUACAGAGAUGAGGUAGUCAUCACUCCUGGAUGCUGGCCUUCUUGGCAGAGUUCCUCUGUCCAGUGUCUGUGUUCUUUUGCCCAUCUUAAUCUUUCUCUUUGAAGGGUACUAUUUAAUGAAGCUGCCAGUUGAGGACUUGUGAGGCUUCUGUUUCUCAAACUAGACACUCUAAUGUACUUGUCCUCUUGCUCAGUUGUGCACCGGGGCCUCCCACUCCUCUUUCUAUUCUGGUCAGG